UGAACGCUGGCGGUAGGCCUAACACAUGCAAGUCGAACGGCAGCACAGUAAGAGCUUGCUCUUACGGGUGGCGAGUGGCGGACGGGUGAGGAAUACAUCGGAAUCUACUUUUUCGUGGGGGAUAACGUAGGGAAACUUACGCUAAUACCGCAUACGACCUACGGGUGAAAGCAGGGGAUCUUCGGACCUUGCGCGAUUGAAUGAGCCGAUGUCGGAUUAGCUAGUUGGCGGGGUAAAGGCCCACCAAGGCGACGAUCCGUAGCUGGUCUGAGAGGAUGAUCAGCCACACUGGAACUGAGACACGGUCCAGACUCCUACGGGAGGCAGCAGUGGGGAAUAUUGGACAAUGGGCGCAAGCCUGAUCCAGCCACACCGCGUGGGUGAAGAAGGCCUUCGGGUUGUAAAGCCCUUUUGUUGGGAAAGAAAAGCAGCAGGUUAAUACCCCGCUGUUCUGACGGUACCCAAAGAAUAAGCACCGGCUAACUUCGUG
rnacentral:rRNA from 1 species